AGAUUGAACGCUAGCGGGAUGGCUUACGACAUGCAAGUCGAACGGCAGCGCGGACUUCGGUCUGGCGGCGAGUGGCGAACGGGUGAGUAAUAUAUCGGAACGUGCCCAGUAGCGGGGGAUAACUACGCGAAAGCGUGGCUAAUACCGCAUACGCCCUACGGGGGAAAGGGGGGGAUCGCAAGACCUCUCACUAUUGGAGCGGCCGAUAUCAGAUUAGCUAGUUGGUGAGGUAAAGGCUCACCAAGGCGACGAUCUGUAGCUGGUUUGAGAGGACGACCAGCCACACUGGGACUGAGACACGGCCCAGACUCCUACGGGAGCAGCAGUGGGAAUUUGGACAUGGGGAACCUGAUCCAGCCAUCCCGCGUGUGCGAUGAAGGCCUUCGGGUUAGUAAGCUACGUUUGGUACGAGGUAAGGAACGGACGUGCCCGUAAGUACCGGACGUACGACGU
rnacentral:rRNA from 1 species